CAGUGAUGUGAAGCGAAACUCAAAAAAGUAAGUCUCAGUUCGGAUUGAAGGCUGAAAUUCGCCUUCAUGAAGCCGGAAUUGCUAGUAAUGGCAGGUCAGCAUACUGCCGUGAAUACGUUCCCGAGCCUUGUACACACCGCCCGUCACACCAUGAGAGUUGGGAAUACCCGAAGCCUGUGAGCUAACUGUAAAGAGGCAGCAGUCGAAGGUAGAAUCAAUGAUUGGGGUGAAGUCGUAACAAGGUAAC
rnacentral:rRNA from 1 species